rnacentral:rRNA from 1 species
UAGGGAAUCUUCCACAAUGGACGCAAGUCUGAUGGAGCAACGCCGCGUGAGUGAAGAAGGUCUUCGGAUCGUAAAGCUCUGUUGUUGGUGAAGAAGGAUAGAGGCAGUAACUGGUCUUUAUUUGACGGUAAUCAACCAGAAAGUCACGGCUAACUACGUGCCAGCAGCCGCGGUAAUACGUAGGUGGCAAGCGUUGUCCGGAUUUAUUGGGCGUAAAGCGAGCGCAGGCGGAAUGAUAAGUCUGAUGUGAAAGCCCACGGCUCAACCGUGGAACUGCAUCGGAAACUGUCAUUCUUGAGUGCAGAAGAGGAGAGUGGAACUCCGUGUGUAGCGGUGGAAUGCGUAGAUAUAUGGAAGAACACCAGUGGCGAAGGCGGCUCUCUGGUCUGCAACUGACGCUGAGGCUCGAAAGCAUGGGUAGCGAACAGGAUUAGAUACCCUGGUAGUCCAUGCCGUAAACGAUGAGCGCUAGGUGUUGGGGACUUUCCGGUUCUCAGUGCCGCAGCAAACGCAUUAAGCGCUCCGCCUGGGGAGUACGACCGCAAGGUUGAAAC